AUGGCUUCCACGCGCGCGGUUGCGAUCGUCUUCUCGCUCCUGAUCUUGGCGGCGGCCGCGCCCUCGCCUCUCGUGCGAGCCAGAAUGGUGCCGGCGGAUGGCGAAGGAGUACCACCCGCCGGACGGAUCGCGGCGCCGGAGGUUACCGGCUCGGUCGGAACAGCGUCGUCUCUGCAAGAAGCGCUCGUUCAGAGGCCCCCGCUGCCGCUGCCGCUGCUGACGUCGCCGCCGACGAUGACCGUCUACGCGCAGCGCAGCAGUAGGAUGCUCGGAUCGGUGCCGAGCCCGGGCGUUGGCCACUAG
rnacentral:rRNA from 1 species